AAGGCUAGUGUUUUCUCUCCAAUCUCACAACAGCCUUCCAAAGAGGGGCUCUGUCCAAAACUAAGAUAGGACGUUGCAGCCCUGAGGGUGUCAGGGGGAUCCCAGGGCUAUAAAGCCAACAGGUCCUGAGUUGGGGUGCAGAGCCGGGGCUGCCUGACCCUGGAGCCUGCCCUUGCUCUGCUAACAUGGCACAGGGAACCUGGAGCUGCGUGAGGAAAGGCUUUAUUUACCCUCCUGAGGGCAGUGACCGGAGAGUUUAGAUUCAUCCCCGGGAGUCGGUGAGAAGGACCUGGGAUUGGCCCACAGUCCCGAGAGCGGGUGUUCUCCAGCCUCCCUGGAGAUUGGCAGUAUGUCCGUGACUGGCACGAAGCCCGGAUCUGGCCCUGAUAGCAGGACCUGCGGCAAGAGCAGUGGCUGGCACGGUCUCAGCUGCAGCGUGUGGGAUGCAGUUCUCUCACCAGGGCUGGAGCCCCAGCCGCCUGCAUUGAGAGCGCAGAGUCUUAGCCACUGGGCCACCAGGGAAGUCCCAGAGGAUUCUUGACCAAGGGCUUGGCCAGUGCAGAGGCAGAAGUGAUGCUGAUCACUGCUAACUGUGGUUUCCCAAGGACAAACGAACGGAAGAAAAAAAAGAAAAAAACCAAGGGGGGCCUUGGAAAUAAAC